GAUAAACAUGUGAAGAACUUAAGCUGAAACAUGGAUAUUACAAUUCAAAGGGGGAAUUUACUUCCAGAAAUCCAGAAAUGUCAUAAAUGCUGCAGUGAUUUUCACUGCCCAUUCUGUGACCCCAUAUAUUUCAAACCCACAAAGUUGUCCAAAGUUCAAAAACAUCUCAAGGGACACUUCAACAGAGCAGUGCAACAUGAAGGGUACACCAUACAUCGAUGCGGUCGCCCCUGCGGAACCCAGCAACAUUAUCAUUGCUUGUACUGUCAGUCAACAAUUUUAAGAAAGCCAUAUUUCAUUACACAUUUAGGUUCCUGCAAAUGUAAGAGCGUUAAGAGAGCAAGUGCCACUGAUGCCUGUAACAUCACACCCACUGCUGUGGCAACUGCUGUUGCACAAGCUACUGCCAUUGCUGUUCCAGCUACCACAGCCAUCGCUGCCACCUACUGUUAUGCCGCCCUUUUCUGCCAUCUCUGUGCCGCCCACUGCUGCGCCUUCUACCACAGCCACUGCUGCCACCUCUGUGCCAACCAGCACUAGAAAACAGUAUGACCUUUAACUGGGCAUUUCUUUCAGGUUGACAUGCCCAUGAUUAGAAAAUGGU